CGCGCGCCCCGAACCGGCUCACCGCGCGGAAGAGCGCUGCCUUCCGCGGCGCAGGCGGCGCGUGGGGCAGGUGCCUGGCCGCGCGUCCUGGCUGACUUUCGCAGAAGCCGUCCCGUCUGAUGAGUCUCCCGCCUAAGGGAGGGGGCGCCGGCCCGGGACCCCUCGAGCCUGGCUUGCACCCAGGAGGGCAACGGGGCUCACACCGCCCCUCCCCUCGCCUGGGGCGCGAUGGGACGCGCGGGAGUCGGGGGGCUCAAGACGGGAGGGAGUGGAGCAGGUUGGCCGCUGGUCCUCUCCAGCUGCUGCCAGACUGACAAUCCUGAUGGGGGAGGGGGCCGCCAAGAGGUUGCCUGGGACAAAGGCCUUGGGCUCUUUGUCUGAGGCUCAGUGGGGCCCAAGGCUGGUCCGAGCUGUAAACACACUCCUCCGCCAGGCGAGUCCUGCUGUUCUGCCCGGAGACCCCAGGCCGGCGCGGCAGCAGGCGUCCCUCAUCCUCUCAGUGCUGUCUGUGUGGAUCAGCAGCAAGGACGUCUGGAACCUGCACUGCCCAAGUCAGACUGGCCCAGAGCGGGGGUUUCUCCCUCCUGCCCACCCCAAGCCCUGCAGGAGCAAAAGCUGAAAGUCUGAAUGAAUGCAUGAACCAGGGCCUUUUCCAGUGAGUUGGUUCUUCGCAUCAGGUGGCCAAAGUAUUGGAACUUCAGCUUGAGCAUCAGUCUUUCCAGGGAAUAUUCAGGAUUAAUAUACUUUCUUCUCUAGCACAAAAAUUUGACAGCAUCAAUUCUUCUGGUCAGCUGAAGGCUCUCAGCAUUCUUCAUGGUCCAACUCUUACAUCCACACAUAACUACUGGAAAAACCAUCAGUUCCGUUCAGUUCAGUCGCUCUGUCGUGUCCGACUUUGCGACCCCAUGGACUGCAGCACACCAGGCCUCCCUGUCCCGCACCAACUCCCAGAGCUUGCUAAAAUUCAUGUCCAUUGAGUCGGUGAUGCCAUCCUGCCAUCUCAUCUUCUGUCAUCCACUUCUCCUGCCCUCAGUCUUUCCCAGCAUCAGGUUCUUUCCAAUGAGUCAACUCUUCCCAUCAGGUGGCCAAAGUAUUGGAGCUUCAGCUUCAGCAUCAGUCCUUCCAAUGAACAUUCAGGAGUGAUUUCCUUUAGGAUGGACUGGUUGGAUCUCCUUGCAGUCCAAGGAACUCUCAAGAGUCUUCUCCAACACCACAGUUCAAAAGCAUCAAUUCUCCAGCACUCAGCUUUCUUUAUAGUCCAACUCUCACAUCCAUACAUGACUGAUGGGAAAACCAUAACUGACUAGAUGGACGUUUGUUGGCAAAGUACUGUCUCUGCUUUUUAAUAUGCUGUCCAGGUUGGUCAUAGCUUUUCUUCCAAGGAGCAAGUGUCUUUUAAUUUCAUGGCUGCUGUCACCAUCUGCAGUGAUUUGGGAGCUCAAGAAAAUGAAAUCUGUCACUGCUUCUACAUUUCCCCCCUUCUGUUUGCCAUGAAGUGAUGGGACUGGAUGCCAUGAUUUUAGUGUUUUUGAAUGUUGAGCUUCAAAGCAGCAUGUUCGCUCUCCUCUUUCACCCUAUCAGGAGGCUCUUUAAUUUGUCUUUGCUUUCUGCCAUUAGAGCUGUAUCAUCUGUAUAUCUGCUCCUGCUGCUGCUAAGUCGCUUCAGUCGUGUCCGACUCUGGGCAGCCCCAUAGACGGCAACCUACCAGGCUCCUCUGUCCCUGGGAUUCUCCAGGCAAGAACACUGGAGUGGGUUGCCAUUUCCUUCUCCAAUGCAUGAAAACUAAAAGUGAAAGUGAAGUCGCUCAGUCAUGUCCGACUCUUCGAGACCCCAUGGACUGCAGCCUACCAGGCUCCUCCAUCCAUGGGAUUUACCAGGCAAGAGUACUGGAGUGGGGUGCCAUUGCCUUCUCCAAUGCAUAUCUGAGGUUGUUGAAAUUUCUCCCAGCAAUUUUGAUUCCGGCUUGUGAUUUCUCCAGCCCAGCAUCUUGCAUGAUGUGCUCUGCAUAGAAGUUAAAUAAGCAGGGUGACAAUAUACAGCCUUGACGUACUCCUUUCCCAAUUUGGAACCAGCCCAUUAUUCCAUGUCCGGUUCUAGCUGUUGCUUCUUGACCUGCAUACAGAUUUCUCAGGAGACAGGUAAGGUGGUCUGGUAUUCCCAUCUCUUGAGGAAUUUUCUGCAGUUUUUUUGUGAUCCACACAGUGAAAUGCUUUAGCAUAGUCAAUGAAGCAGAAGUAAAUGUUUUUCUGGAAUUCUCUAUGAUCCAGCAAUGAUCCAAUGGAUAUUGGUGAUUUGAUCCCUGGUUCCUCUGCCUUUUCUAAAUCCAGCUUGAACAUCAGUUUUCAAUUCACAUACUAUUGAAGCCUGGCUUGAAGAAUUUUGAGGAUGACCUUGCUAGCACGUGAGAUGAGUGCAAUUGUGUGGUAGUUUGAAGAUUUUCUGCAAUUUCCCUUCUUUGGGAUUGGAAUGAAAACUGACCUUUUCUAGUUCUGUGGCCACUGCUGAGUUUUCCAAAUUUGCAGGCAGAAUGAGUACACCACUUUAACGGCAUCAUCUUUUAAACUUUUUAAAUAGCUCAGCUGGAAUUUCAUCUCCUCCACUAGCUUUGUUUGUAGUGAUGCUUCCUAAGGCCCACUUGACUUCACACUCCAGGAUGUCUGGCUCUAGGUGAGUGAUCACACCAUUGUGGGUAUCCAGGUCAUUAAGACCUUUUUUUGUGUAGUACGUCUGUGUUUUCUUGCCACCUCUUCUUAAUCUCUUCUGCUUCUGUUAGGUCCUUACUAUUUCUCUCAUUUAUCACGACCGUCUUCACAUGAAGUGUUCCCCUGGUAUCUCCUGCUUUCUUGAAGAGACCUCUGAUCUUUCCCAUUCUGCCAUUUUCCACUGUUUCUUUGCAGUGUCCGUUUAAGAAGGCCUUCCCGCCUCUCCUCGCUUUCUCUGGAACGCUGCGUUCAGUUAGAUGCCACUGUUGUCGUUGUCUGUGUCCCAAGGCUCCUUACAGCGGCCCUAGUGCUGUGGGCGAGUGCCGGGAGGGAGGCUUCUGUACUGGGGGUCAGGCAAAGGCACAGCAGUCAGUAAGGCAAACGGGCAGGGGAAGGCAUGGAAGGGGGCCCGCUGCUGGCCAGAGUGCAGCAAGCCGCUCUCCCAGGUCCUCAGGGCUCUCCCUUCCCUUUCCCCAGAUGGCUGGGCCCCAGUGAGGUCACGUGCUUCGCAGAGCCAGCCUUCUGCCCUGUGGACACACUCACAGAGCAGUGGUGCCCCCAGCACCCGCCGACUGCCUGGGUCAGC
ensembl:lncRNA